UACAGAGGUCCCAAGCGUUGUCCGGAUUUAUUGGGCGUAAAGCGUGCGUAGGCGGCUGCGCAAGUCGGGUGUGAAACCCCGGGGCUCAACCCCGGAACUGCAUCCGAUACUGCGUGGCUAGAGGUAGGUAGGGGAGAUCGGAAUUCCUGGUGUAGCGGUGAAAUGCGCAGAUAUCAGGAGGAACACCGGUGGCGAAGGCGGAUCUCUGGGCCUUACCUGACGCUCAGGCACGAAAGCUAGGGGAGCGAACAGG
rnacentral:rRNA from 1 species